AGUCUCCACCAUCUCGAUGGCUUGCUUCAUUUCCAGCUUCUUGUACAAAGAAACAAUGCUUGAUUUGGUUUUCUGCCCUCAUGAGAAGCCGCGGUUCCUGUGUAUUCUCAGCCCACGCUGUACCAGUUCUCUCUGAAACAACCUACACCAAGUCAACUGCGUCUUCCACCUGACAAUUCUUCAUUUUCCAGGCUUAGCAUGCCCUGGAAUUUCAACCACUUCCUGUAGGGGAUGGCUCAGGAGCACUUUAUCUUCUUGGUCUCCAUUCCCUGAAUUCUCUCUGAUUUUAUGCCCAGCUUCCAAUGGAACCUUUAGAAGUUUGUCAGGGAGUGAAACCCUCAGCCUCCUUACUUGUCUCUCACUUGGUAGUGACUCCAGUGCCCACACACAUCUUCGAUUCCAGCCUUUAAGUGAUCCAUCAGCUGCCAAACAAACACAAGAAAAUGAUUGCUGGAGAAACGCGAACUCUGAAAGACACACAGGACAACUAAGACACUUUAAAAAACAAAGGAGCCUUUAAUUUUCUGGAGCCUAUCUGACUUUCUAUCACUGUGUUCAUGUAAUAAAAUAUUUGGUGCCUUUCAUAGUAAUUUCAUAGUAAUUUCAACUUUGGUUUAAAGACUCUGUAGAUAAGUUUCUUCAUAAUUCACAUAAUACGUAAUGAAAACAGGGCACCUGGCAUUUGCUUUGGAUAAUACUUUUCUAGAAUGAUCUAGGAAAUUUCUCAUUACUGAA
rnacentral:lncRNA from 1 species